UUUUAAUUUUCUUUUCUUUUUUAAAUCCAGUGAGUAUUAAGGGAGUCUAAGGCAAUUGAAAUGAAGGUUUAUGGGAAUUUACAGGUGUGUUUCUUUAUGGCUUAGAGAAACCUUUUGUUGCCAAAACUUUAGUACCUUUGUACCCUAAAAUCCCUUAGAGUGCUGUUACGGAAGUUACCUUGUAAUAAAUUUCUUCAACCCCUCAGAACGUUUGACUCCUUGAAAGACUCCUUGUUUAUAAUUUCAAUAAUUUUUAUUCCAUUAAAGGCUUCCUUUUAGGGGUCUUCGUUGUUUGGUUAUGGCGUGAAGGUGUGAAUCUGUACAUGCAUCAGAAAAUCUGAUUUUCUGUGUGUUGGGUUUUGGAUAUGUGUCCCUUGGCCUCAUUCUGCCUGUAAAGAAUCAUAUACAUGUGUAACGCUGCACUUGAGGAUAUCAAAAUAAUUUCUCCACUUUAAAGUUCAGAAAUUCCUAAUGUUUAGUAUUUCUGCAAAUUUUGGUGAUGUCAUCUUUGUUCAAUGGCACCUCACAUUUACUCACAGUAUCAGUGUAAAGUUUAGUCCUGACAGACUUGGGGUCUUAAAUUUGACUGAAAUAUCCAUGCUCAGACAAUUAAAUAAGCUCACAAAUCAUGGAAAGUGCCUUAGUAACUGACUUUGGAUGCAGGGGAAUUGCUCAGUGUUUGCAGUUCUGAAGAAAUCUCUCUCUCAGUUUGGUUUUAGAGCCCUUUCUGUGAGAGUCUUGUCCUUUUGCUGCAGUAGGAGUUGCAGCUGCUUCUGAGGCAGAGGAUGUUUGUUUCUGGGUCGGACAACAGAGAUCCCAUCAGAGCCUGCAGGAGCAUCCCCACAGCUUUUAGACUUUCCUGUUUCGCCCCUUCAGCUGUGCAGCUGAGUGGAACCUGGCUGUGGAGUGGGACUUGGGCCAGACCUGUAUUUACACACCCAGGGCAGCAGUGCUGUGUUGUGUCAUGGUGGUACUAG
rnacentral:lncRNA from 1 species